AUACUUACCUGGCAGGGGAGAGACCAUGAUCAAGAAGGUGGUUCUCCCAGAGUGAGGCUCCUCCAUUGCACUUUGGUGGGGUUGACCCCUGUGAUGUCCUCAAAUGUAGGAUACUCAACUGCAUAAUUUAUGGUAGUGGGGGACUGCGUUCGCGCUUUCCCCUC